AUCCGCCUACGGGACGCAGCAGUCGAGAAUCAUUCACAAUGGGGGAAACCCUGAUGGUGCGACGCCGCGUGGGGGAAUGAAGGUCUUCGGAUUGUAACCCCCUGUCAUGUGGGAGCAAAUUAAAAAGAUAGUACCACAAGAGGAAGAGACGGCUAACUCUGUGCCAGCAGCCGCGGGAAUACAGAGGUCUCAAGCGUUGUUCGGAAUCACUGGGCGUAAAGCGUGCGUAGGCUGUUUCGUACGUCGUGUGUGAAAGGCUCGGGC
rnacentral:rRNA from 1 species